GACGAACGCUGGCGGCGUGCCUAAUACAUGCAAGUAGAACGCAGUUGCGAACGGGUGAGUAAAGCGUAGGUAACUGCCUCAUAGCGGGGGAUCACUAUUGGAAACGAUAGCUAAUACAGCAUACAGUUAGAUGGACCUGCGUUGUAUUAGCUAGUUGGUUCGGUAAAGGCCCAACAAGGCGACGAUACCUAGCCGACCUGAGCGGGGGAUCGGCCAGACGGGGACUGAGACACGGCCAAGACGCAUACGGGAGGCAGCAGUAGGGAAUCUGCGGCAAUUGACGGAAGUCUGACCGAGCAACGCCGCGUGAGUGAUGAGGGUUUUCGGAUCGUAAAGCUCUGUUGUUAGAGAAGGGGUAACUAACCAGAAAGGGACGGCUAACUACGUGCCAGCAGCCGCGGGAAUUC
rnacentral:rRNA from 1 species